rnacentral:rRNA from 1 species
AAGAAUGCUAAUACCGGAUAACAACAGAUGAUGCCUAUCAACUGUUUAAAAGAUGGUUCUGCUAUCACUCUUGGAUGGACCUGCGGUGCAUUAGCUAGUUGGUAGGGUAACGGCCUACCAAGGCGAUGAUGCAUAGCCGAGUUGAGAGACUGAUCGGCCACAUUGGGACUGAGACACGGCCCAAACUCCUACGGGAGGCAGCAGCU